GCUGCACCACCUGCUUCUGCCCUCUGCUGGGCCAGACAGAGCAAAGGUCUGUGCCAGGCUCCACGCAGGAUGGUGCCAGCCCUUAGUUGCUGCUAUGACCCAUCAUAAGCCAGUCGAGAAAUGCCCUGCCUCGGCUGCUGGGCUGCUUGCCUCUGCGUGGCUGCCAGCUGGGUGGUACCAAAUGAUGCCGCUGCCUGAGCAUCACUUCUUGUCCCUGCAUUUGUAUUCCAGCAUCGCUGCUUCUUUUCUGCCCCCACCUGCCCCUUCCCUCACCUAACACUUGCAGGCCCUGUGGCUGAUGUGCAGGAGGAGUGGCUGUCCUGCUCCCAGGACAGUGGGCAGAGGUAGUGGGACAACCCAGAGGGCAGUUCUGAGGGCUGGGGUGCCCGCUGCAGCCAUAGGGUCCCCAGACUCCUCCACACUUACUGUUGCUAAGAACUGGAGUGGAGAGAGCUUAUAUCAAAGUUAAAGCACUCAGGACAUGAUAGCUGUUAUCCUUGCUUUCUCCUUGCACCACAACUUGCCUCCUGCCUGCCACAACCACGCUAUGCAGAACAUGGGCUGCAUGCCUCCUGGCUGUGCCUUGAGGGGUCUGAGCCAUCUUGCUCCCUUGUUACUCUUCAGAUGCGUGCUUGGAGGAGAAGGGUGGUUUGUGUCUUUGCUUUUGAUUUACCAGAAUUGGCUUAAAACGCCCCCGGGAUUCUCAGUUCAAACAAACAAAGGAGAUUACGCUCUGGGGAUGAUACAAGCAAUGUGAUACCAGUGGGCACAAAGGGAACAUGUUUUGGCCAACCCAGGAGCAGGAAGCUUUGUUUUCAGCCUGGCAGUGGUUACAAACAAGCGGAUUUUGGUUGCGUUCCUCUUCCUCCCACGUUUGUUGGUCAUGUUAGAUUGACACAUCUUGAAAGAGUGACUGCGUGUAUUAGUAAUGGCACAAAGGGCUGCUUCCUUCAGACCGGACUAUGGGGAAAACCCAUAAUGGUCUCUGGGAUGGGUGAGGGAGGAAGUAAAUGAGCAUUAGGAACCCUUGUGUUGUAGGUUGAACAUGGAAUUUCUCCGUGUCUGUACCCUCUUUCCCAGGGCUUCCCGACACACCGGGUGUGCUGUACUUACCCAGAGGGAGGUGGGCAGCUGGGAGACGGCCAGCAACUUGCUGGGACCACCAGAACUGUCGCAGAGGGUUCGAUGCUGAGAGCCAAUGCCUGGGCUCUGCUGCAGGGACUCUGGCCAUCAGCUGGUGUCACCCACAGGCCUGUGGUGUCACGCAGAGGGGGGCACUGAGCUCCAUCCCAGCCUGUAUCAGCUCCCCAAAGCCCCUGCUCUGGUUCUAACCACGCUGAGGGUUUUCCUGGGAUGGGAUGGGGUGGGGGUAGAAAUUCGCUGACAAUUUUGCUGUGGUUUUUCAUCUUGAUUUAAUUCAGAACUACCGGGCUUUGUGGAGGGAAUAGCUGAUUGCAGGAAUGCAUUGUACUGAUGCUUACCAGAUACUUUUUUAGAUGGGAAAAUCUUUCUGUGUCAUGAGAAAGUGUGCAAAUGUUAGUUUUCUUGUAAAUCAGAGUGAAACCAGAUUUCAGGAGGUUUCAGUUUCUCCCAAACACUGAGUUUUGGCCACCUUCAGCUCUCUGGUAGGUGGCUGGGGCUGCUGAGUGACCUCACCCCAUGGCACAAGGCGUUGAAAAACCUGAGGCAAGAUGUGGUACCAGGCCACGUAUUUUAUACUGCGGAAGAGCAAAACUUUUCUUUCUUGUAGCCUUCUUUAGCUUUUGCAUUAUGUCUUAGUGGAGACUUUCCGUUUCAUUGUUCGAGUCCAGUAACAACCACAGUUGUGUUUGCGAGAUUUGUGUGAUGACAGCCCGAGCGCCUCCCCAGCAUUUUGUUUCUUCCUGUGCCAGGGUGCUGGCUUAGCCCGCAUCCAGCAGCACCCAGGGCUUGCUCUCCCACGCUCUGCUCAGCACAUCCCACCUUGCACCGUGCUGGCAAAGGUGAGAAUGGAGAAGGACUGGUAAAACACUUUUUUCCAUCUUGCAGAUUGCACUUGCGCUGCUUAUCUGGCUGCUUGAUCCAUGAGAACGUGUCUCGGAGCAUCUGGAAACGUGUGGAUAGCUUCCAUCCCCUCCCAGAGACUUGCGGGUCCUGGCUGCGCGCAGGAGGAGGAUGGGAGAUUUGGAGCCGUGGCCGCUCUGCAUGGCAACAUGCCUGUGAGGUUUGCUGUGCUUGGAUAGAGCAGAACUGUGCAAAAACAGAACAAGAUGGGAUUUUUCCAGGUUUAAUUUGAGCUUUAACUUGUUCCAAGUGUAACAUUGAGAUCUUACCGCUUCUUUUGUUUUCCACGCUCCGCUGCGCUCUGUGGCAGCAGCAGUCACAAGUGUCAGACCAUCAACUAAGCCUGGUUUUGAGUUGAGUGUGAAGGAAACUACACUGACAAUGAAAACACUCGCGGGGUAUUUCCAUGCCAAGGCUGUGUGCAGGUUUGGCACCCCUCCUCCCUUUGCACACCCCACAGUGAUGUUGGAGCUCAGUGGGUGAAGGUGGGAGCGGGGCCACUCGUGGCAGCCAUGGUGCAUGGGUCCGGUGGGAUUUGCGUCUCUAUUUCUCUGUUGCUGUUCUGAGUGGAGCUUGUGUGAGUAAACCUAUUGUGGUUUUAAGUUAACGUGCAAUUGGACAAGGAAGAUUAUUUGAGUGUUUGCUCUGUAUGUUUCUCCUUUGUCUUUUGUCUUGCUUGACUGAUACACAGCAAUGCACUUUGGCAACCUCAGCCUACCCCUCUACUCUCAUUAGCACUCCAGCAUGUGUUUUUACUUUAUGGAGGGCCGCACGGCGUUGCGGAUGGCAAUGGGAGAGGAGGUGGUGUGGGUAUGUGGCAACCACUUCUAGCACUGACAGCAUCCUGGCAUUUUUGAGAAGCCAGAGUUGUCACACGGUUUGUUCUGAAAGCCAUUUGCAAUCUUAACUGUAGUAACAGUCAUAAUCAUCGUCCCGCUAGUGCAGAGGAUGUGUGGGAGAAACAGGCCUCCUUGAAAAUUCCCUCCGAGGCCGUGCCAAGCCUGAAGCAAUCUUUUUUUCAUGACGGAAAGCCGUUCUCACGGCGGUGGGUAGCAGCCCAGCUGCGACGUGUCAGCGCCGAGCGCUGCGUCCCGCUCUGGAGCAGCACGGCUCCGCUGCAUCCUCUCGUCAAGUGUGUAGGAGGCGGCGUGGUCGUUUCUGCAGAAGCAGGGAAAUGCAGCCCUGGCUGUGCUGCGAUGUCCUCUGAGUCAGCAGAGCGGCCCUGUGCCCUCCCGGCCUCGCAGCCUGCUGCAUGGAGCGGCGGUGCCGCAUGGCAGCCCCUGGGACGCAGCGCAGCCACACACAACGGAUGGGGCUGUCAGAGCCGUGCUGUGUGCUUAUGGCUGGGGAGGUGCUCUGGGCACAGGGCUUGUCGCUGCUGCAGAAAAUUGCCCCACAGGGGGUCGUUUCUUGUGCUUCUUCCCAGCCUGAUAGCGUGUGGUAGGAUGGAGCUUUGGAAGCUGGAUGAAAAUCAGUUCUGAGUUUAAAAAUGCAGCCAGGUGUGGUCGGUCGAGUCAUUUUUCUGCCUCCUGAUGCUUCAUAGACAUGUCAGCAGUGGACAUCAUCACAAGCAUAAGGAACGAAGUGAUCUAAAACUCUCCACCAAGCAGGGAAGUAGCAUUAAUCUUGUUUUAUUCAGAGGGAGAUGGAAAUAAAGGAGUUUGAUACAGCUUGUCCAACAUCACAUGGAGGAUCUCUUUUACAAAAACCAGAUCUCUCAUCUCUUAAUCUGAGGCAUUAGCUGCAGCAACAUCCUUCUUCCUUAACGUCCCUUCAUGCAUGCAGUAACUUUGCACUAACGGUCUGUUUUUAUUGGGCAUCGCCUUGAGAAAUGAUUUCUUUGAGCCCCGGCCAACUCACUCACUGGCUUUUGUUCAGCUGUAAUGAGAUGGCUUAACAUAAAUUCAGGAGCAUGCCAGGGCUUUGCACCUGAACAGGCAGCCAGAGGUCUGAACCCUACGUCCAACACUUAGAAAAACAUCCCCGGAUGUUGUUUGCAGAGAAUCAGUGAGGAAGAGGAUGAAUGCAGAUGUGUGACACGUGCCAGCUGCAGCGAUCUCAGGUACUUGGGCCUGAUUCUUUCUCGUGUUACGCUGUAUCAUUGCUCCCUGGUUCAGUCUGCAUCUUUUCUGUCAGAGAGGCAGGGAGGGGAAGAUGUGGCCUCACAUCAGCGAUGUUGGGCCCAAGCAUGACUCCAGAGAGGCUGGCUGAUUGGGGGCAGAAGGAAGCGAGGUUUUGGUGGUGGUAGAGGGGCAGUGCUGGGUCCUACAGCAGAAUGGGGCAGUGGGAGUGCCAGGGCCUUCCGUGCCACCCUGAUUCUGAACAGUAUUGCUGUGACUGACUUUGUUUGCUGUUUGCAAUAGUUUUCUCUUUGGGUCCCAGACCAGGCAGUUUUUGGCUUGGUUUUAAUUACCAUCUGACCUCCUCACUGCUAGUUCUCUUCUGCACUUGCUGUGUUGCAGUCAUUUUGCUCUGGGCGGUAUUCUGGGAAAAACUAGGACAAGCUCCUUGGUGCCUUUGGUAGAUGUUAUGCCUGGAAGGUGGCCCAGUGCUGUAAGAAAUGCUCCUGACUGAGUAAGAGAAGCCAAGAAGUAAAAAGUUAGGAUAGCAUUCCAGUUAAAACAUGGGAGCACCUCUUGCCAUUUCAGAGUGGCUUAGCCUAUGUCAUCACAGUGCUGAAAGAAAGGAGGGUCUGGAUGCCGCAGCUCCCAGGAGAGUACUGAUCAUAUAAACAACAAUGAAAAGCUUCCAGUGAUAGCCUGGAACACCACCUUCUGUCUGUCUGUGUAGUGCUGGGGAGGACAGCCCCACAAGGCAGGCCCCAGCGUGCGCUCCUGUCGGUGUGGGUGCUGCUGGCAAGAGGUGGUGGUUCUGCUAUGGGUUUGUCAAGUCCUUUUUCUAACGGGGCUCUGGCCUGAUGGUGCUGUAGCUGUGUAAAGGGUGAAUAUUGAAAUGUUAUUAUCUAGUCCUGAGCAGGCACAAACUCGCUGUUUUUCAUCCCUGCUGAAUUUGCCAUCCCUACUGAGUUAUUCUUAGAAUGUUGUUGAAUAAAAGCCUAGCUUGUCAGCAUGGCUUCUUUUUGAUUGUAUUUGUGCACUGAGUCUAACCUACGGACAAUGGCGAGCGUCAUACUGAUUUGUGGAAAUGCUCCUAAUUCUUUGUCUUGUGCCUUUUUAAAUGAAGCAGUCUCUGAAGUGUUUAUCUACAGCGCAUAAAAGCCCCUAUAAAUGGAUGCAUAUUCCUAACUUUAUAAGACUUGCAUAUUAAUCUGCUUAUUUUCUGCCUGAACAAAGGGCCUCCGGAACCCACAAACGUAGUCAUAAUUCUCCUGAUCUGGUUUGCUGCAAGGUUUUGCUUGACUACACAGAUGUUUUCCAUGUAUUUGGCAAAAGAGGGGUCAAAGCCUGCAUCUGGCCCACUAUUUCUGGCAAAAACCCCGAUGUGCUUAAUCCUUUUUGAACAUGAAUAUUCUGAGAGCUCAUUUGAUUUAUUAACCUGAUUAUUUUAAUGUGGAGAAACAAUGUGGAACAGUGACCUUCGUUCAGGAAAAUGCUUGUCCAAGUGUUUCUGCUCUGAAUCCGUCCAAGCUCAAUGCAGAGUGUGUGAAGGACUGGUGUACACCACAGGGCUACUCAGGGACACAGGUAAGCCUCUUUGCAAGACUCAGGUAUGGUUGGCUCUUGUGCUCUGCGCUGUGUAGUGGGACCUGAGCCAUGAAGUAAUGCAAACAAGGUCUGGAGGAGGGGUUAGGUUGCUUUUCCCCGUAGCUGAGGAGUCCCAGCCUGGGCAGUAUUGCAUGGGGCUCUUCAUACAGGUGUGGGCUGAGCUCACCUGAAAAUCACAGCAGGGCAUGUGGGGACUGGUCAUGUGUAGUAUUGCUGAAUGAGCAAGAAGAGUUGGUUUUCAGGGGAUGUUACACCAUGCGGUUUCAUUAAACACUCCUCUCCAUCUCCCUAAAGAGCAGGAGAUCACCUCUUCCUGUCUGCUUUGGGAACGUGCAGCGAUAUCCCCAUUCUCUGCUGGGUAGAGCUAUCUGAGUGUCCCCAGUGUGUAUUGAGCAGGGCGCUGUACAGACAUGAGGCAGAUGGAUGCCAUCCUUGAGGGCUUUGCAAUAGAAGUGUAUUUCCUCAGUGAAUGGCAGUGCUGCAGGAUGAGUAAUGCCCUUAACAUUUUAUACGGAGCUUCGCAGUCUGUAUGACGGGGCUGUAGUCUGGGUCACUAUUCCUCCCUUCCUAUUACUCACAGAUAAACUGACUAAUUCACACAUUUUUGGCCAACAGUUUUCAAAGUUGGCUGCCUAAAAGAAAGCAUCUUUAACGAGAGCGGCUGGGUUUCAGAAGCUGCUGAGGAGCCACUGAUGCCAAGCAGAGCCCAAUUUACAAUCACUGAGCCAAGUUUUUCUUUAUAACUGCAAACCCUGGUAAGCAUUAUCACUGUAGCUGGGAUUGGAAGGGUACCGGGCUCCAGCCAACCCCAAGAGCAGUGCAGCAGCCAGGAGCAGGCCGGGCAUGCAGCCGGGAUGCCCAGGGAGGUAUCUGCGGGGGAUGAGCACUGCUUUUGCAAGCUGGGUGUUGGAAAAGGAAACCGAUGGAAACAAUAACCGAAGCCAAUAAACAAUCCUGUAUGCAACAAACUUUAAAAUUCUCCAUUUCGUAAGAAAUAGCAAUUGCUCGGGGCCAGUAUCAUAAACGCCCAUCUCAGAGUGCUUCCCUCAGCUCUGACCAUGACCAGAUGUUUAGUCAAAUCCUGUUAACCUCCGUUUCACAAGUUCAGGCUCUUCCUGUGCUCGGGGCCAGAACCAAAGCUGGCUGGUGUGAUGGAGGGCCUCCUUGGGACACAGGGGCUCCAGGUCGGGACUUGAGAUGGUUCGUGUGAGUAUUGGAAAGCAGUUCUCAAACAGCUCUCACUGUGUUUUGAGUACUGCUCGCUUCUGGGCUUUGAAAAUGUGUCAGUGUAGGCAUCUGUGAAAAUCAGUCUCUGUGAGAGACACUGAGUGAAACCUGGGGAUGAGGAAGGACACACGUCUAAAGGCUCGUGAAAAGCUGAGCUCACACAACUUGUGUUACAUGUUGGAUGCAUUGUAUUCUCCUCUGUUGCAGAGAAAUCUCAAUGGGAAAAGAAAUCUGGAUGUUUCAAAACGUACUUCUUUUCAUUCUGCAUGUAUGGCAUGGAUUGAAUAGCAGUCAUCCAGAAAGCAGAAAUACCAGUGUCAGAGUCAGAACGCUUAUACAGGGUAGAGAUUUGCUGUUCCAUUUCACUCUUCUAUCCUGGUGUGACUUUGUGACCUCAAGAAAUCCCUUUCUAUCAUGAAAGCUGUCUCCAAGAAUUGGCACCUUUGUGAUUACAUCUCAUUUCUGGUGCUGGAGAGCUGCAUCCAGGAGCUCAAGCUGUGAAGUGGUGAACAAAGCCCUCUGCUAUCUUGUGCUUCUUCACAUAGAUGAAAAUGGACACAAAGAAGCUGGAUUGUGUCUUAAGGUGAAGAAAGAUGCAGCAGCAACUUUGUGAUGGUGCUCCUGGAGAGCAGCGCGGUGCAGCUGGGCUGUGGGGACCACCAGCAUCCCUGCCUCUGCAUCACCCCAUCCAGCACUGGGAAGCACUUCUGUAGGCGUGGAGGUUUCCAUCUUCCAGGCUGUUUGGGCAUGGAGUGCUCCAACAAGGUCACUGACUUGCCCUGUUAUUCUGAAGGUCUCCAUAUCCAUGUGACAUGUGCAGUCCAUGUGAACUAUCUACAGACAUUAGAGAUUUACACUUUUUGUAGACCUUUGAGGAUGCAAAUCCUACAAGUUGCACUUUAAAGAUCUUCUGCUUGGCGUCACAGCCCCAUCCGUGCCAUCUGGAGGAGCGGAGCAGCCCCGAGCUGGAGUCAGGAAGGAGAAGAAUGUUUAUAAUUAUUCCUGCUUUUCAAAAUUUGCGUCCACGGUUCUCAGGCAUAUCUGGCAUCAGGCAGAAUGCUGAUGGAGACAAGCUGAAACCAGACGUAUAUCUGUGGAGAUCUAUUCUUCUGAAGCACGGACAGAUUUCCUGAGCGCCACCAUUCCAAAGGCAGGCACAGGGAUGCAGCACCAGGCACCAAAGCAUUGUCCAGCCCAUCAGCACAAAGUGACAUGAGAGGGUGUCUGGACUAAAGUAUAGGCAAGAGAAGCUAAACUAAGCCCUACUAAGCAGAGCAACGUCCCAGUCCUGCAAGAAGCUGGUGCUGAAGUGCAAAAGGGUCUGCAAAAACUGAAGACAAAGGAAGCCUCAAAAUAGUGAAACUUCAGAUGAGAAAUUCUUGUGUGUGAGUUCUGGUUUGUUUGUUUGUUUGUUUGUUUUUAAUAUUUCCUACAACCUCUUUAUCUCUUUUACAUUUGAAUGAACUAAAGAAACCAAAAUCUGAGGAAACUGGCUGUGGCAGAAAGCAGAGCCAAGGCCAGGUUUCCAGGGGAUGAGUAAGAAAGAAACCUACAGCAAGUAACCAAAACCAAAACCCAGCCUCGAGCUGUUAUCAUCAAGUUAUCUUGAGUAAACUAUGUAUUGUGUAUUUCCUGAAGAGCAUGACCAAAAUUCAUUGAGACCAUUGCUCUCUCAGUAGGUUAUGGCGAAAUGCCCAACUAAUGUUGUAUGCCUCCUUUUUGAUACAUAGCCAAAAGGAUUUGUUGGUUUGUUUUCACUCAUUCCUUACUCAUGAAAAAGAAGUGAGCUUAAUGGGUUUUGCAAUUCAUUUUUCAUUUGUUCGGAAGCACUUCCUCCAUCCAAACCAUAGACAGAUUGUUUCCCAGCAUAGAAAAAUCUGUACUGAUGUGGCUGAGAUUUAGCCACCUCAUUUGCUCUACCAGGAGCGCUCUGAACUUCUGCAGGGCACAGUGAGUUUCUGGUGGCAGCACCAAACUUGACUUAUUCCAAAAAACUUCCCCAAAUGGUAAAGUAUCACUGAAAAGAAAGAAAACACAAUUGUCUUCAACCAUUAUGGCUGCCCUAAUUUGAAUCACAUGGGAAAGCGCUUUGUUAAUGGCUUUGUUCUUUUACUCCUUGUUGGCAAUACAACAAAACAAAACGCCCCAUUCUUUGUUGUUUUUCCUUUAUGUGUUGCUUUUCCAUCUGGUUUGAGAAGAAACUGGCCUCCUGGGUCAGUAAUCAUGUUGAAAGACUUGAGAACUGGGGUAGAUUCCCUCAAAUUCCUGAAUAACUCCUGACUGACCACUUUACCUCCACUGCUCUUCUGUAAAAUGGCAGUAAGUUGACUUUACCUCCUAGGGCCUUUGUUAGAAAAUGUAUUUAUUGCUGCACGCAGGUACCCAAAAUUCAAGGCAAAUGCGUGUUGUAUUUUUCAUUACAGCAUGUCCUGUGUAGAGUUUAAGCUAAUAUGCCCCGAUUAUGGCUCACGAUGAUGCGAUGAUUCGUAAGAGGAACAAGUUGGAAUAGAUUGAAAUAUAUACAUGUAAAAGAAGGGUGUGCGGCCUCCCAGCACUCUUUGAAAUAUAAAUGUGAGAAUUCCUUUAGGUGUAGUGCUGGAAGCCCUGGAAACCCUCAUGCCAGCUCACACGGGCAGGUGCUGAGCAGAAGGAGCAUGCCAGGAGACAGAGAAGAUUUGGUUUCUGCCAGCAGGCCGCAAAGGCUGCAGCCCCACAGUGCUCUGUUGUUGCAAGCCUAGGACAGGCAGUGGGAUGCACCCUGUGAGUGCUGCCUUCUGCUUUCAAGCUCAGGCAGAAGGCUUAUUGCGGUAUGCCCUGGACCUGGGUAUUGGUUUUUGUGUUUUGUUUGUGUUGUGCUUUUUUCCUUGUCUGCUUUUUUACCACCAAUUUUUCUGAGUUCAAUUUUCAUUUGAUUCCCUCUCUUAGGCUAUUAUUUACAAUCGAACAGCAAAAUGUUACAGGCUGAGCAGGCAGGGCACUAUAUAUAGCAAAAGCAGGGCAGUUCCCUGCUCUAAUCAUCUCCUGCUGCUUUUAUGUAGAUAGUAAAUGAUGGGCCACAGGGUGAGCUGCAAUUCAGCUCUAGGAAAUGCAUGUCAAAGGAGUUUAAGCACUGCAUCCUGCCCACACCAAGAGGAGGUAAUUUGGGCUUGACAUGGCAGUACUGGGUUUUCACAGAGCUGAAGAGUUUCAGAUGAGAUCUUGUGUCCUUUGGCCGAGCGCCCAGAGAGCCCAUGUUUCAGAAUAGGAUAUUUACAACAGCAAACUGUAGCGUUCCCCGCUUUGAGUAACAGGCAGAUUUCAGCCAAAACAAAACAAAAGAAAAGCAGCCUUCAUUCACACCGUCCCCCUCUGCUGACCCUGCUGUCGUGCUCAGCCUCCCUCAGCCCUGGGUAGCGGGCCUGCCUCAGCUGGGGACAGCCUCACGGCUGCCAUUUGCUUUGUUUGUGCUUCAGGCUCCUUCCACUGCCUCGCCUCCCCCGAGCCGCCUGGCUUGCACUGGCCUUUUUCCCUCUGCCAAGCCUGCUUCACUGCCUGCUCAGGUCUGGGGCCGUUCUGCUGCCUGCUCUUUUUACAGCAGUCCAAGUGAGCAGAAAUAGUUGAACCAACAAUAAAAGUUUGCCAGCUCUGGUCAUUUGGGUCCUACAACUGAAACACAGUGUGAGAAAGCUUAAGCAGGAGCUUUGCUGAUGGGGCUUAGUCCCAAAUCCAUGCAAAUCCAAGGUAAUCUGGAAGCUGCUCGCUGCCCUUUCUUAGCAUCACGGUGUCAAAAGGCUUCAGCAGAGCAGGAGCUGAAGGAGCCAGGAGCUGUGUGCAUGCCUUGUCAGAGAAAGUUUGUGAGCUGAAGGUUUUAUAAGCUGCCUGUUUCAAACAGCAAGAAAGUUGAGUGCAGCAGUUCUGCUCUCACCAGCACAGAGCCAAGGGAUGCAGGCUCAGGUCCAGCUCUGAGCAGCAACCGAGGCGCUGCAAUGCAAAGGAGUAGGCAAGUUGCUGAGGACAAGGCCCUUAGUUAUUUUUUCUGCCCAGCUGAAGGAUUGUUCAUGCAUUUUAUUCACCGUCUGAUUAAUGUGAAGUACAAAAGCACUCUGCCUUUGCAAGCAGGAGUGAAACUGCAGUCUCCACCCUCCCAGAGGAAUGACUUAAAUGUGAAGCUCUGGUGUCGUGCUCUUCCUUUCCUUCUAUCUGAUCAAAUGCAUUUUUAAUUCUUUAAUGCAAAGUAGGAAAGCAUCAGUACGAGAGUUUAAGAGCUCUGCUUUGUUCCAGAAAAGCCUCAACCAUGGUUGCUAAAGAGCUCCGCUGGGAACACAGGCACAGCUCCUGCCUUUGUGGGAGCUAACAUUGAACUCCUGUGCUCGGCGACCACCUACCACACUGCACGAGCAAGAGGUCACUUGUUGGCAUGCAGCACCAGGUACAGCGGCAUUUCCUCC
ensembl:lncRNA